UGUGCAGGGUAUUCUGGAUAUACUGAAGUGUGUAUGGAGGUUGUGAGUAGGUCAACAUACAAUCGAUCACUCCUAGUAAGAGGAGAUCGCAUCCUGUGUAUUUUUAAUCCUAGAUGACUCAAAAAGAAUCUUUUGACCAAAAGCAGAAAGAAGAUUAGAAAGAAUUUUUAAUGCUUCUUCAUUGGAGUCAUCAUUGGUUAAUUAAAAAUCGAUAUAUAUAUGUGUUUGAGUUUGAC
rnacentral:lncRNA from 1 species